CACAAACUGACCAGACUCUCGAGGGGACAGCGGCUCCUCCAUUGCUCACUGCUUGGGAAGAAAUAUUGCACUACUAUCGCUAUAAUCAGAAUGAACAUGAAGACACUGGAUAAAGUCAUUAAAGUGCAUCACUGGUGAACUGUCAUGUAUUCGGUUUCUAGAAAGUGGACCAAGAAUAGGACUUGUUCAUUAUAAACCACCCAAGAUUUUAAGGAACACGAUUCAGUGACGGUUGCAACAGUCAAGCACUUAAGUUGGAGUCUGAUGACCUGAUGGAAUACUUCCCAAAUAUAUUUGGUUCGACCACCAACAUUUUUCUACUACAAAGCUAAACAGGGAAAAGGCUAUGUGCUCUCCUCAUCCAGUGUAUUUUUUAUUUUCUAAAACAUAAAACAGUUCAACACAUGUAACCACUUUUGCUUUAUUUCUUUGAUGGUUCAAAUGAUUGCUCUAGUUAGUUUUGUGUUUUGACCAUUUGUGAAACUCUGCCUCAUUUACCAUGCUUUGUGGGGUGACUUUUUUUUGCCAUGUCAUGACCAUUCAUAUCUAUGCAACCAAUGUGUUUAUGAUUAAGUUACACCUAGAGCACAAAAUUGUUUACAAGAGCACAAAGUUCUUUAUAGAUUUAGCCUCUUAAUUUUGCAGUCAAAGCACACAAGAUUGACGCAUUCAACUUUAAACAUACAAAAGUUUCUUACGCCGGACCAUGCUCCCGGACCCCCCUAGAGGGUUCGGGGUCCACCCACCGCAGUCUCACAAAUCCUGUGGGGAAACACUGAAAAGUGCUUCAAGUUGGAGUCCACUGACAUGACGGAAUGCAUUCCCAUUUUCGUCUGCAUGCAACAGCGCAUGUCUGCCUAAAACCAUCUGAAAAGAUGACGGGGAACCACCUGCAGCUACAGGAAGUCUAGGCUAAGUUAUGUUAACUUUUACCUACGUUACAGCUAGAAGAAUGCCUACAUAUUGUGGCAUACUUCUAAUAAAAAGUUGUUUAAGAGGAGAUCACUUUAUGGUUGUUAUUUAUUUCAUCCCAUCCGUUCACAUACAAAACAAUGCUCGGACAAUCUGUCAUUAAAUUCCCCUCAAGUGUCAAACUAGUAUGCAUGUUUCCAUGGCAACCAAUGUCUGAUGACAUACAGCUACAUAAUUUUUUUUAAAUACAUCUAUGUAAAGGUUGACAAUUAAAAAUCAUUAGUCAUGCAACCCCUAGUGCACACUCUAAACUGUACUUUAUACAGUACACUAGUAUUCCAUUCCAAAUGUUGU